rnacentral:rRNA from 1 species
GUGGGGAAUCUUAGACAAUGGGGGCAACCCUGAUCUAGCCAUGCCGCGUGAGUGAUGAAGGCCUUAGGGUCGUAAAGCUCUUUCGCUGGGGAAGAUAAAGACGGUACCCAGUAAAGAAACCCCGGCUAACUCCGUGCCAGCAGCCGCGGUAAUACGGAGGGGGUUAGCGUUGUUCGGAAUUACUGGGCGUAAAGCGCGCGUAGGCGGAUUGGAAAGUUGGGGGUGAAAUCCCGGGGCUCAACCCUGGAAUGGCCUUCAAAACUCCCAGUCUUGAGGUCGAGAGAGGUGAGUGGAAUUCCGAGUGUAGAGGUGAAAUUCGUAGAUAUUCGGAGGAACACCAGUGGCGAAGGCGGCUCACUGGCUCGAUACUGACGCUGAGGUGCGAAAGCGUGGGGAGCAAACAGGAUUAGAAACCCCGGUAGUCC